GAAUAUUGGACAAUGGGCGAAAGCCUGAUCCAGCCAUGCCGCGUGUGUGAAGAAGGACUUUUGGUUGUAAAGCACUUUAAGCGAGGAGGAGGCUACUUGGAUUAAUACUUUAGGAGCGUGGACGUUGCUCGCAGAAUAAGCACCGGCUACCUCUGUGCCAGCAGCCGCGGUAAGACAGGGGGUGCGAGCGUUAGUAGGCUUUACUGGGCGUAAAGCGUGCGUAGGCGGCUUUUUAAGUCGGAUGUGACAUCCCUGAGCUUAACUUAGGGAUUGCAUUCGAUACUGGGAAGCUAGAGUAUGGGAGAGGAUGGUAGAAUUUCAGGUGUAGCGGUGAAAAGCGUAGAGAUCUGGAGGAAUACCGAUGGCGAAGGCAGCCAUCUGGCCUAAUACUGACGCUGAGGUACGAAAGCAUGGGGAGCAAAC
rnacentral:rRNA from 1 species